UACGUAGGGGGCAAGCGUUGUCCGGAUUUAUUGGGCGUAAAGAGCGUGUAGGCGGCCAGGUAGGUCUGGUGUGAAAACUCGAGGCUCAACCUCGAGAGGUCAUCGGAAACCAUUUGGCUAGAGUCCGGAAGAGGAGAGUGGAAUUCCCGGUGUAGCGGUGAAAUGCGCAGAUAUCGGGAAGAACACCCGUGGCGAAGGCGGCUCUCUGGGACGGUACUGACGCUGAGACGCGAAAGCGUGGGGAGCGAACAGG
rnacentral:rRNA from 1 species